CUGCAUCACAGCUUGGUAUGGCAUCAGCUUUGUAUCCGCAAGGCGCUACAGAGGGUAGUGCGUACGGCCCAGUACACCACUGGAGCAGUGCUACCUGCCAUCCAGGACUUCUAUACCAGGCGGUGUCAAAAGAAGCCGCUAAAAUGAUCAGACUCCAGCCACCCAUGCCAUAGACUGUUCUCUCUGCUACAGCACGGCAAGCGGUACCAAUGCAACAAGUCUUGAACCAACAGGACUUUGAACCGCGUCUACCCCCAAGCCUUAAGACUGCUAAAUAGUUAAUCAAAUAGGUACCCAGACUAUUAGCAUUGACCCUUUUUGCACUAACUCUUCUGACUCAUCACAUACGCUGCCACUACUGUUUAUUAUCUAUCCUGUUGCCUAGUCACUUUACCCCUACCUAUAUGUACAUAUCUACCUCAAUAACCUCGUACCCUUGCACACACGGUUGAGGAGGGUUUUGUCUAUUUCCAUCAAACAAGCUCUCCAGACAGACCCAGCCUCGGUGCAGUGGAAGAUACAUUAUUUCCUCAAAUACCCAGUGUCACUGACCACAAGGGCCAUCCUAUUGGAAAGGUAUUACUAUGUUAUUACUAUACUAUGACCAUGGGAUCUAUUGCAUUGGACUCUCUUUAGGCUACAUAACUAGUGUCUGUAUGUCUGUUCGGUAGACAGAUGUAAUAAAACCUUGAUCUCUUCAAAUUCCCUGUGGAAUACAAGUAUCUGACCCUGUAACAGUGGUUAGGGGUAUUUUCUCCCUACUUAACAAAAGCCACUCUCUCCUCGUUCCCUCAGGGUGCAGAUCAGAUGGACGACAGGGUCACAGGUUACAUCCGAGCGUUGGUGCAGCAGGGGGUGAGGAAGGUGAAGGAGGUAAAGAACCAGAUGGUCCAGUACGUGUGGACGGAGCUGUUCCGAGACACGACCCCGCUGAGGCGCUUCUUCCCCACAGAGAUAACCAUCCAUGCCGUCAUGGCUCAGGUCAUCGCAGAGGAACACUACAGCAACAUAGACCUGGUCAACCUGCUGGAUUACUGUAAUUGAAGGAACUAUGGGAAAGUUCUCCUUCCCAAGGAUCAUCAUAAGAAUGCCAUGGGCAAAGCGGACUGCACAGGACGAUUUCUGCACAGAAACUACUGAACUCCACAGGCCCAGAACACACCAGCCUCACAACUCCUCACAACUCCCCAGCCUUAAUGUGUGUAGGCAGGGCAAGGAGAACACCGAUUCAACCCAGAAGAAGAGGAAAAAGAAGAGACUAAAUGAGAAGGGAACCCAGGUUGAACUAGGCAUGCGGGAGGAUAUCCAUGACCUUGACCUCGCCCAUUGGAGAUUGGCUAGAGAGACAUGGAGAACUGAGCGAGGAAACAUAAGGGAGAUUAAGGCGCUGUAUGGAGAAAUAUUUAGGCUGCACCAACUCUU